rnacentral:rRNA from 1 species
GACGAACGCUGGCGGCGUGCUUAACACAUGCAAGUCGAACGAAGCUUGAUUACGGAUUCUUCGGUUGAAGUAUGAUAUGACUGAGUGGCGGCCGGGUGAGUAACGCGUUAGUAACCUGCCCUUCAGAGGGGGAUAGCGUUUGGAAACGACCGGUAAUACUGCAUCAUGUAUUUUGACCGCAUGAUCGAAAUAUCAAAUAUUUAUCGCUGACGGAUGGACUCGCGUCUGUUUAGGUAGUUGUCGGGGUAACGGCCUACCAAGCCGACGAUCAGUAGCCGGACAGAGAGGUUGCUCGGCCACGUCGGGAGUGAGACACGGCCCAGACUCCUACGGGAGGCAGCAGUAGGGAAUAGUGCACAAUGGGCGCAAGCCGGAUGCAGCAACGCCGCGUGAAGGAAGACGGUUUUCGGAGUGUAAACUUCUGUUCUUAGUGAAGAAUAAUGACGGUAGCUAAGGAGCAAGCCACGGCUAACUACGUG